GGGGAAUAUUGGACAAUGGGCGCAAGCCUGAUCCAGCCAUGCCGCGUGAGUGAAGAAGGCCUUCGGGUUGUAAAGCUCUUUCAGGUGGAAAGAAAACGCAUAGGUUAAUACCUUGUGCGGAUGACGGUACCAUCAGAAGAAGCACCGGCUAACUACGUGCCAGCAGCCGCGGUAAUACGUAGGGUGCGAGCGUUAAUCGGAAUUACUGGGCGUAAAGCGUGCGCAGGCGGUUAUGUAAGACAGAUGUGAAAUCCCCGGGCUCAACCUGGGAACUGCGUUGGUGACUGCAUAACGAGAGUACGGAAGAGGGGGGUGAAAUUCCGGGUGUAGCAGUGAAAUGCGUAGGUAUGCGGAGAAACACCGAUGGCGAAGGCAGCCUCGGGGGCCAGUACUGACGCUCAUGCAUGAAAGCGUGGGGAGAAAAC
rnacentral:rRNA from 1 species